CACUUGCUGACCUGGCUUCUAGACUGCUCAUCAGAUCCUCUGCUUGCUAUUUCUUCCCCCAUGUGCAGGACAGAUGCAGAAGAUUCAGGGAAGGAUACAAAGAUCUUCUAGAUAUAAAGAGCCUGCUAGAGUGACUUUAAAGAGCUGCUGGAGGAAGUUACCACCGCUGGGCUGCAAAUCCACUCACUAACAGCCACCUGGACUACAGUCGUCCCUGGGGCUGAGCAAAAGUCAACACUACAAUGUCUCUCAAAGACCGGGCAAGUGAUUCAUUGAACCCAUAAACGUACUUUCUAUGUGCCACGUGUGAAACUGUGAACGAGAAGGAUCAAC
rnacentral:lncRNA from 1 species